rnacentral:rRNA from 1 species
UACAGAGGUCUCGAGCGUUAGGCGGAAUCACUGGGCUUAAAGCGUGUGUAGGUGGAUCGUUAAGUACCUUGUGAAAUCCCACGGCUUAACCGUGGAACUGCUUGGUAUACUGGCGGUCUUGAGUCAGCUAGGGGCUACCGGAACAAAUGGUGGAGCGGUGAAAUGCGUAGAUAUCAUUUGGAACGCCAAUGGUGAAAACAGGUAGCUGGGGGCUGUACUGACACUGAGACACGAAAGCCAGGGGAGCAAACGGGG